rnacentral:tRNA from 1 species
UGAGGUGUGGCUUAGUGUUAGAGCUCAUACUUAGCACGUGUGAGGCCCUGGGUUUAAGCCCCCACACCAAAU